rnacentral:lncRNA from 1 species
AGAUUCACAGCAGAAGGAAGAAGAUGUUGUGACUGGCCCCUGCAUCUCUGAGUCAGUGAGUGACCUGCAACCCUUAGCACAAGAACUUUUGUUUGUGUCUCUGGAAGUUGGACAGCCUGGGACAGGUUCACCUAUACAAGUGAUAAUGUCAAGGAUUCACUCCUGCAAUGGCCCCUGAAGUUUUGUCUGUGACCUGCAAUCAUGGGCCAAGCCUGUGGACCUAUACUGGGGGUGGCUGUUUCCUGUGGACU